CAUGGUACCUACUACUCAGUCUUCUUCAUCGGAGAAACAAAAGUGUCUUAAAGAAGGUUGCCUAUUGCCUCUGUCUGACCUUGAUGAUGUAAGUAUCUACAGAAAUCAGGGCCUUUCAUCACGGACUUAAACACACACAACUGGCCCAGGAUUCAGAGAUGCUGAAGAAGGAUCCCAAGGAAGGUGGGAUGCUUGCAGGCCUGACUGCCGCCUCUAGUGAAUGGGUUGGACAUGUUGUGUGAGUUACAAAGUGCGUGUAGCUUCCCUUCUGCCCCCCACGUAGCUUGCAAGGAGCUCCCUUGUGGCUCACCCUAUCUGGAAACAUACAGAAAAAGGAAUUCUGAGAAAAGUAGUUCAGCCUAGCGAAGUUGAUGCAUUACAAAGGUGCUCCUCAUAUUUUCCAAUUAAUUGCUCAUGACAGUUUUGAGUUGCAUUUCCUAUUUUGCCAGUGAUUCACAACCCACCCUAAUUAGGACUAGAAACUUGCUUUAUUCUCUUAUGAAGGUCUUAAGGUAUUACUGAAUUCCUAUGUUUUGCCUGUACUAUGCCACUUAAAAUUUAAUUGGAUACUCACUUAAGUUAGCCUAAUUAACUUCUCUAUUGGUUAGAAUUGCAUUUCUCUGCAAAUAACAUUAAAGUUAAAGAAACAAACAAAAAUUAUACCUUAAACAAAGUUAAAAAGUAUUUCUUUUUCACCUAAAAGAAGUAGGAGUCUUGAGCUGGUUUGUCCAUGAACAUAAGAAACUCAGGCUUCUUCUAUCAAUAAGAUAAGUCCUAGCACCUGUAAAGUUACUUCACGGUCCAUGAAGGCUGCUAGAUCUCCAACCAUUGCACCUAGUUUCCAGGAAGAGACAAAAAUUCAAAGAACUUACCUCCCAGCUCCCUUACAGAUUUCUUGAAGAUUUCCUGCAAAUCCUGAAGAGCAACUUCCACUUGCAUUUCAGAGCUUCAAGAGGAGCUGAGAAUUAAAGCCAGAGCAAAGUACAUUGCUCAGCAGGAAAUGAAUAUUAAGAAGGAAAUAGCAACGUCUGCUGCAAUUUCUAAGAAGAAAUACUCCCUACACAAAUCAUACUUCCCAAGAUGACAUACUACUUCCUUCAUUAGGAAUGAGAACAUUAUCCAAUAUGAGGGUGGGCUUUAAGAAAACAGUUAAUUUUGUGUCAGGUGACUUCAUUCAACAUUGCCAACAAAUACUUUUGAAGCUGUGCACUUACAGUAUGGAGAUUACAAAGAAAGUCUUCAAACGCUGAAGCUGAAGCAGUGGAGAUGAUACAGAAGUUUUGCAGUCUUUGCAGGAAAUGUGAAUUACUGCAAAAGUUGUGCAGAGAGUUAUGAGAGCUCAGUGGGGCGCUAGGUGCCCAUCAGCAGGAACUGGACACUGAUGAAUACAGGACUGAGACUGCACGUUGAGAUCUACGUGAAGCCAUCACGAUUUCAACGAGCUUGUGGAGAGUGCAGGGGUCAAACACACAGGGGUUUAUUAGUGUAUCAGAGGGCCUUUUCCCAGUCAAGAGAAGGAAGGGGCCCUAAGAAGAAAAAUUUGAUAAGGAUACAGAGACCUGCAGAAGUGGAGGAAGCUAUGAGGAAUUUACUUUGGACACAGAUCAGUGUCUGUUGAAUAUUACAGCAUGUGAGCCUGAAUUACCCACAAUUCCUCACAAGUAUUGCUUUAAAGGUAGUGAUUCAUCCACCUGAUCACACCAGCAUCGAAACACUUUCCUGUCUUCAUCAUUAAGAGUGUUAUGCCAGGCAAAACAUAACUGUGAUGAAACCAAUUCAGUGUUCUGUCUUUGUACUACCUUCCCCCUUAGCAUU